rnacentral:misc_RNA from 1 species
CAAGUGCAUAGCAGUAGGUUAUUGAAUAAUGAUCUUAACAAUAAUAAAUAAAGAAGUAAUAUAUUUUAGAGAAAAACACUAGAGUUAGCCGGACUUACAUCGCUAAUUAUUCCCACCGCAGCACAUCGAUUAAAACGAAUAAAAUAAAAAGGCAAACAAAUGUAUUUGUUCGCCUUUCUUUAUUUUAGAAUAU